AUUGAACGCUGGCGGCAGGCCUAACACAUGCAAGUCGAACGAGUGGCGGACGGGUGAGUAAUGUCUGGGUAACUGCCUGAUGGAGGGGGAUAACUACUGGAAACGGUAUCUAAUACCGCAUACUAUCGUAUGUGCCUAGAUGGGUGUAGCUAGUAGGUGGGGUAAAGGCUCACCUAGGCGACGAUCCCUAGCUGGUCUGAGAGGAUGACCAGCCACACUGGAACUGAGACACGGUCCAGACUCCUACGGGAGGCAGCAGUGGGGAAUAUUGCACAAUGGGCGCAAGCCUGAUGCAGCCAUGCCGCGUGUAUGAAGAAGGCCUUAGGGUUGUAAAGUACUUUCAGCGGGGAGGCGUUACCCGCAGAAGAAGCACCGGCUAACUCCGUGCCAGCAGCCGCGGUAAUAC
rnacentral:rRNA from 1 species